GGAGGGGUGGCCGAGUGGUCUAAGGCAGGUCUUUGCUAAAGACCCAGACCCCAAAAGGGUCUCGGAGGUUCGAAUCCUCUCCCCUCCGCCA
rnacentral:tRNA from 2 species